rnacentral:tRNA from 1 species
GAGGGUAUAGCUCAGUGGUAGAGUGCUUGCUUAGCAUGCACGAGGUCCUGGGUUCAAUCUCUGGUACCUCCA